rnacentral:rRNA from 1 species
GACGAACGCUGGCGGCGUGCCUAAUACAUGCAAGUCGAGCGGACUUAAAAAGCUUGCUUUUUAAGUUAGCGGCGGACGGGUGAGUAACACAUGGGCAACCUGCCUGUAAGACUGGGAUAACUUCGGGAAACCGGAGCUAAUACCGGAUAAUCCUUUUCUACUCAUGUAGAAAAGCUGAAAGACGGUUUACGCUGUCACUUACAGAUGGGCCCGCGGCGCAUUAGCUAGUUGGUGAGGUAACGGCUCACCAAGGCGACGAUGCGUAGCCGACCUGAGAGGGUGAUCGGCCACACUGGGACUGAGACACGGCCCAGACUCCUACGGGAGGCAGCAGUAGGGAAUCUUCCGCAAUGGACGAAAGUCUGACGGAGCAACGCCGCGUGAGUGAUGAAGGUUUUCGGAUCGUAAAACUCUGUUGUUAGGGAAGAACAAGUACGAGAGUAACUGCUCGUACCUUGACGGUACCUAACCAGAAAGCCACGGCUAACUACGU